UACGUAGGGUGCGAACGUUAAUCGGAAUUACUGGGCGUAAAGCGUGCGCAGGCGGUUUUGUAAGUCAGAUGUGAAAUCCCCGGGCUUAACCUGGGAACUGCGUUUGAAACUACAAGGCUAGAGUGUGGCAGAGGGGGGUGGAAUUCCACGUGUAGCAGUGAAAUGCGUAGAGAUGUGGAGGAACACCGAUGGCGAAGGCAGCCCCCUGGGUUAACACUGACGCUCAGGCACGAAAGCGUGGGGAGCAAACAGG
rnacentral:rRNA from 1 species